CACCUCUAGCAUUACUAGUAUUAGAGGCACUGCCUGCCCAGUGACACACGUUUAACGGCCGCGGUACCCUGACCGUGCAAAGGUAGCAUAAUCAUUUGUUCUUUAAAUGGGGACUCGCAUGAAAGGCACCACGAGGGUUUAACUGUCUCUUACUUUUAACCAGUGAAAUUGACCUGCCCGCGAAGAGGCGGGCAUAAAACAAUAAGACGAGAAGACCCUAUGGAGCUUUAAUCUAUUAAUGCAAUCAAAAACUACACAAACCCACGGACCUUUAAACUACCGACACCUGCAUUAAAAAUUUUGGUUGGGGCGACCUCGGAGCACAACAAAACCUCCGAAUAACACAUGCUAAGACCACACAAGUCAAAGCGAACUAACACUUACAAUUGAUCCAAUAAUUUGAUCAACGGAACAAGUUACCCUAGGGAUAACAGCGCAAUUCUAUUCUAGAGUCCAUAUCGACAAUAGAGCUUACGACCUCGAUGUUGGAUCAGGACAUCCUAAUGGUGCAGCAGCUAUCAAGGGUUCGUUUGUUCAACGAUUAAAGUCCU
rnacentral:rRNA from 1 species